UGGCUAAUGUGUCUCGGCUAAGGUGUCUUGGCUAAUGUGUCUUCGCUAAGGUGUCUUGGCUAAUGUGUCUUGGCUAAUGUGUCUUGGCUAAGGUGUCUUGGCUAAGGUGUCUUGGCUAUGGUGUCUUGGCUAAGGUGUCUUGGCUAAUGUGUCUUGGCUAAGGUGUCUUGGCUAAGGUGUCUUGGCUAAGGUGUCUUGGCUAAUGUGUCUCGGCUAAGGUGUCUUGGCUAAUGUGUCUUGGCUAAUGUGUCUUGGCUAAGGUGUCUUGGCUAAGGUGUCUUGGCUAAGGUGUCUUGGCUAAGGUGUCUUGGCUAAUGUGUCUCGGCUAAGGUGUCUUGGUUAAGGUGUCUUGGCUAAGGUGUCUUGGCUAAUGUGUCUCGGCUAAGGUGUCUUGGUUAAGGUGUCUUGGCUAAGGUGUCUUGGCUAAUGUGUCUCGGCUAAGGUGUCUUGGCUAAUGUGUCUUGGCUAAGGUGUCUUGGCUAAGGUGUCUUGGCUAAGGUGUCUUGGCUAAUGUGUCUUGGCUAAGGUGUCUUGGCUAAGGUGUCUUGGCUAAGGUGUCUUGGCUAAUGUGUCUUGGCUAAUGUGUCUUGGCUUAUGUGUUACGGCUAAGGUGUCUUGGCUAAUGUGUCUUGGCUAAGGUGUCUUGGCUAAGGUGUCUUGGCUAAGGUGUCUUGGCUAAUGUGUCUUGGCUAAGGUGUCUUGGCUAAUGUGUCUUGGCUAAGGUGUCUUGGCUAAGGUGUCUUGGCUAAGGUGUCUUGGCUAAGGUGUCUUGGCUAAGGUGUCUUGGCUAAGGUGUCUUGGCUAAGGUGUCUUGGCUAAGGUGUCUUGGCUAAGGUGUCUUGGCUAAUGUGUCUCGGCUAAGGUGUCUUGGCUAAGGUGUCUUGGCUAAUGUGUCUUGGCUAAGGUGUCUUGGCUAAUGUGUCUUGGCUAAGGUGUCUUGGCUAAGGUGUCUUGGCUAAUGUGUCUUAGCUAAGGUGUCUUGGCUAAGGUGUCUUGGCUAAUGUGUCUUGGCUAAUGUGUCUUGGCUAAGGUGUCUUGGCUAAGGUGUCUUGGCUAAUGUGUCUCGGCUAAAGUGUCUUGGCUAAGGUGUCUUGGCUAAGGUGUCUUGGCUAAGGUGUCUUGGCUAAGGUGUCUUGGCUAAGGUGUCUUGGCUAAUGUGUCUCGGCUAAUGUGUCUUGGCUAAGGUGUCUUGGCUAAGGUGUCUUGGCUAAUGAGUCUCGGCUAAGGUGUCUUGGCUAAGGUGUCUUGGCUAAGGUGUCUUGGCUAAUGUGUCUUGGCUAAGGUGUCUUGGCUAAUGUGUCUCGGCUAAUGUGUCUUGGCUAAGGUGUCUUGGCAAAUGUGUCUUGGCUAAUGUGUCUUGGCUAAGGUGUCUUGGCUAAUGUGUCUUGGCUAAUGUGUCUUGGCUAAUGUGUCUUGGCUAAUGUGUCUUGGCUAAUGUGUCUUGGCUAAGGUGUCUUGGCUAAUGUGUCUUGGCUAAUGUGUCUUGGCUAAUGUGUCUUGGCUAAUGUGUCUUGGCUAAGGUGUCUUGGCUAAGGUGUCUUGGCUAAGGUGUCUCGGCUAAUGUGUCUUGGCUAAUGUGUCUUGGCUUAGGUGUCUUGGCUAAGGUGUCUUGGCUAAGGUGUCUUGGCUAAUGUGUCUCGCCUAAGGUGUCUUGGCUAAGGUGACUUGGCUAAUGUGUCUUGGCUAAUGUGUCUUGGCUAAGGUGUCUUGGCUAAGGUGUCUUGGCUAAGGUGUCUUGGCUAAGGUGUCUCGGCUAAUGUGUCUUGGCUAAGGUGUCUUGGCUAAUGUGUCUUGGCUGAUGUGUCUUGGCUAAUGUGUCUUGGCUAAGGUGUCUUGGCUAAUGUGUCUUGGCUAAUGUGUCUUGGCUAAGGUGUCUUGGCUAAUGUGUCUUGGCUAAGGUGUCUUGGCUAAGGUGACUUGGCUAAUGUGUCUUGGCUAAUGUGUCUUGGCUAAGGUGUCUUGGCUAAGGUGUCUUGGCUAAUGUGUCUUGGCUAAGGUGUCUUGGCUAAGGUGUCUUGGCUAAUGUGUCUUGGCUAAUGUGUCUUGGCUAAUGUGUCUUGGCUAAUGUGUCUUGGCUAAUGUGUCUUGGCUAAGGUGUCUUGGCUAAGGUGUCUUGGCUAAUGUGUCUUGGCUAAUGUGUCUUGGCUAAUGUGUCUUGGCUAAGGUGUCUUGGCUAAUGUGUCUUGGCUAAUGUGUCUUGGCUAAGGUGUCUUGGCUAAUGUGUCUUGGCUAAGGUGUCUUGGCUAAGGUGUCUUGGCUAAGGUGUCUUGGCUAAUGUGUCUUGGCUAAGGUGUCUUGGCUAAUGUGUCUUGGCUAAUGUGUCUUGGCUAAGGUGUCUUGGCUAAUGUGUCUUGGCUAAGGUGUCUUGGCUAAUGUGUCUUGGCUAAAGUGUCUUGGCUUAGGUGUCUUGGCUAAUGUGUCUCGGCUAAGGUGUCUUGGCUAAGGUGUCUUGGCUAAUGUGUCUUGGCUAAUGUGUCUCGGCUAAUGUGUCUUGGCUAAGGUGUCUUGGCUUAGGUGUCUUGGCUAAUGUGUCUUGGCUAAUGUGUCUCGGCUAAAGUGUCUUGGCUAAGGUGUCUUGGCUAAAGUGUCUUGACUAAGGUGU